ensembl:lncRNA SERPINB9P1 serpin family B member 9 pseudogene 1
AAAAGAAUGGCCCAGAUCCUCUGGACUCCUCAGAUGAGCGGAUUCAGAGAGAAGCUUUUGAGAGCGUGCUGGCGGAGACAUUUUUCACAAAAGAGCCCUUGCGGUGCUGGUGUCCGUGGCGUGCCUGGAUGGCCUCUGGAAGCUGUCAGUUGCAUUGCUGUCCCCCUGGCAAGCAUAGCCUCCUGCCUCCCUGUCACCCAACCUUGUCUAGUGGUCCCUCUGCCCUGCCUGAAGGCCCACCAACGCUGGCCGGCCUCCAAGCACCCGGGCCUCUGCUCAUGUACAGCUCCUGAACUGCCCUGCCUCUGAGUUACUGUGGAAAAUGAGCUUAUAUAUGAAGAAGUCAGCGAGUGGACAAAGCCAGGCGCAAUGGAUAGCAAAGAUGUGGAAGUCUCCUCGAUUCAAGUUACAAGAAAACCGCAGCAUGGAGUCUGCUCUCAGCUGUUGGGGAAUUACCGAUGCCUUUGACUAAGUCAAGACUGACUUUUCCAGAAUAUCACCCAAGAGAUAGAGCCGUCCCUGUCCAAGUUUGUGCGCUAGCCCUUCAUGGAGGUCAGAGAGGAAGAAACAAAGGCAGCUGUGGCCUCGGCGGUCACAGUGUCAGAACGCACAAGCCCCAUAAAGAGGUUUCACGCAGGCCACCCAUCCCUUUUCAUUCUCCAGCAGAACAGGACAGAGAGCGUUCUGUUCUGCGGAAGGUCUUCCACUCUACAAGGCAAUCCCUCCAGCUGCUUUGCUGUAUUGUGCUGUCUCCUGUCACACUAUGAAUGCAGUGACCUCAGCCAGCAACAGGGAGAACCCCCCUGCCUCCCGAACAAAGGACCUCACGUGAAAUCCUGAGCUCAGAGCUUACAGAUAUGUGUGCGCUUUCACUUUACAUCGGCCGUGACUUCCAAACAACUUCAGGAAACUUUAGGAUCUCUGAGGUAUACUGGAGAUGACAGCAGCGUAGAAUGUUCAUUUGGAUUUAGAACAGAAAUGCUUAUUUUAUAUUUGGCUGCUCCCAAACUGUCCCCAGACUUCCUCUCCAGUGGUUACCCUCCACUGCCCUGGAUGUCCCACGUUUACACUCCACACUCACACCUCCACCUUAACAAAGUCCUCCACUGGGUCAAACCAUACAUCGCUUCGUCUCUGUAGUGAUGACUUCCUGUCCUCUGCUCUGUGGAUAAAGACCCCAGAUAAAGAUGCCUGUGUUGCUCAACUCUUGUAAAUACUCUUGAGACAUUUUGAAAGCAGAAGGAAAGGAGACAGACGGGGAAAAUAAAAGGGAUGGUCUGCUUGUGCGGAAACGUUUUGAGAAUGCCCUUCCCUAAGAGAGAACAGUAAAAGUGAGCAAUACUUCCU